GACGAACGCUGGCGGCGUGCUUAACACAUGCAAGUCGAACGAAGAGCGACGGAAGCUUGCUUCUAUCAAUCUUAGUGGCGCACGGGUGAGUAACGCGUAAUCAACCUGCCCUUCAGAGGGGGACAACAGUUGGAAACGACUGCUAAUACCGCAUACGAUCUAACCUCGGCAUCGAGGAUAGAUGAAAGGUGGCCUCUACAUGUAAGCUAUCACUGAAGGAGGGGAUUGCGUCUGAUUAGCUAGUUGGAGGGGUAACGGCCCACCAAGGCGAUGAUCAGUAGCCGGUCUGAGAGGAUGAACGGCCACAUUGGGACUGAGACACGGCCCAGACUCCUACGGGAGGCAGCAGUGGGGAAUCUUCCGCAAUGGACGAAAGUCUGACGGAGCAACGCCGCGGGAGUGAUGACGGCCUUCGGGUUGUAAAGCUCUGUUAAUCGGGACGAAAGGCCUUCUUGCGAAUAGUGAGAAGGAUUGACGGUACCGGAAGAGAAAGCCACGGCUAACUACGUG
rnacentral:rRNA from 1 species